CGUUCCCGGGUCUUGUACACACCGCCCGUCACACCAUGGGAGCGGGUUUUACCAGAAGUAGUUAGCCUAACCGCAAGGGGGGCGAUUACCACGGUAGGAUUCAUGACUGGGGUG
rnacentral:rRNA from 1 species